AAAUGGGUGAAAUUGAACAUAAAACAUAAAACGCUGCGUCGAGCGACUUGUUUUUUGUUAUUUUCCAGUUUAUAGAAAGCGAUUUUUUUUUGUUCCCGGUCAGGAUAUUUAAGUUCCCCGUGUCUGAUCAGAAUUGGGAAAGUGGAUUCCCAGAAUGUUGCUGAUCCUUUUUUCCAUUUCCCUGUGUUUUUCCUGGGUCUCUCCCGACACUAAUGUGCUCACUAUGGUAUACACGGCAGUCUCUGGCAUUGAAAAAUUUCCUGCUUUCAGCGGUGUUGCAAUGAUCAAUGGAGUUGAAGUUGAUUAUUAUGACAGCAAUAUCCGUCAGAUGAUGCCCAGACAACAAUUCAUGGCAGAUUCAUUCAGUGAGGACUUCUGGAAAAUGCUCACAGAUAUCGGGAAUUCACGAACAGACACGGCAAUAGAGAAUCUGAAUUUAAUCAUGAAGAACAUGAACCAGACUUCUGGAAUUCACACGCUCCAAUGGAUACGUUCUGUUGAGGUCAGUGAUGACGGCUCCAUGAAAAGAUCGAUGAGAUUUGGAUUUGACGGAAAAGAUUUCAUUAGUUUAGAGCCAGACAGAAUGAGAUGGGUUGCAACCAAUCACUUUGCAGUGAAGCUGAAGGAGAAAUGGGAUUCUGAUGAAUCCUGGAACAACUACUGGGAAAGAUAUUUGUUAGGUGUAUAUAUCCAACGUUUGAAGCAAUAUCUUGAAGCUGGAAAGGAAUAUUUCAAAAGGAAAGUUCAGCCUGAAGUGUUCAUCUUCAGGAGUGAGCCCAAUCGCCAAGACAAGCCGCUCACUCUCUCCUGCCUGGUCACUGGAUUUUAUCCUGCAGACAUCGAGGUGACCUGGCUGAGGAAUGGAGAGGUCCUGUCUGAGACACAAUCCUCGGGGAUUCGACCGAACCAUGACGGGACUCAUCAGAUCCGGAAGGAGAUUGAAAUCAGUGCUGGGGAUGAAGAUCAAUAUUCCUGUCAAAUUGAACACAGCAGCCUGGCAGAGGCCAAACUCUAUCAGUGGCGUAAGAAUCUAGAUAAAAUGUGUGUUCGUAUAAGAACAUGGGUUUACGUUUAGCCCCUUGAGUCUGUUCCAGCAUUCAGUUAGGUCCUGUCUGAUUUGUCCCUCACUUCCUUCACUCAACAUUGUUCCAGGUUUCUUCCUACCCUUCCCCAACAAAACCCUCCUGAUGUCAGGCUGGAAGCAUUCAGUUGUUUAUAUGAACAAUAAAUAUGUUAAGAGGGUAGCCUAGACCCUAACUUUUCCCUUUUGUUCCAGAUGCAGUUUUAAGGGUCAAAGUACCCGUUUAGCAAAACAUAAUUUAUUCAAAUACAAUUGCUAAAAUGAAACAAAAGAAAGAAAAAACUUGGAAUAGUGUAACUCUAUUGGAAUAGUUAACAGAAUAAUAGAUACAGUAACUAUUGCUCAUUAACUGUUCCAAUAUAGUAGCAUCCCAUAAGCAAAUGCUUGGUAAAAGGCAAAUUUGAAAAUAGAUUUGUCUCACAUGCAAUCCAGCAGCCCAGGAAGAGAACACCCAGCUUUUGACUGUAAUUAAGGGAAGGAAGAAUGCCUGCCAUUUCUUCACGACCGCCAUCAUCAAGUGCUGCUGAAUAUUACAACCAAGAAUUGCUUGCCUCUGUGAGUGGGAGCUUGGCUACACCAAUUCAGGCUGCUUCUAUUGUUCCAGUUUCUAAAAAGAAACCACUCAAGGCUUCACAAGUUACUUAUUUUUCUCCUAGUCUGCUCAGCAUCUGUCUUCCAAGAAACCAAAAGAAAACACACCUCUAAAGCUGCAGCAUUGGCACACUCACAACAUUUUGGUGAGACAAUUCCAGACUUCGACUCCCAUUUUUCAGAAAAAGUGCUUUCUAAUAUCACUCUUAAAAGACCUCAUUGUUACUUGAAGAUUGUUCUCUCUUAUACCGGAGUAUAUCACCAGAUCUUUUUACACUCUCAUCAAUCAGAUCUUUGGUGACUUCACUGGAGAGUGAAAUCAGAAAUCUUUGAAAAUAGUGUGGAACGUUUCCAUCUUGCCAUUCUGAUUGGAUUAGUUACUGCAGUGUCGUCAAUAGUCGGAAUAAUCAUCUGG